GCAAUGUGGAUGACCAGGAUGAUUCAAGUGGUAAACAGAACUGCUAUCUGCUUCUAACAGUGGUUCAUUCUAAUGAAGAGUGUUAAGUGUGUGCACAAACCAUCAGUCGCUGGAACCCAAGGGCCGCCACAGCCAUCUUCUUGAUGGUGCAAGCCCGGUUACUAGCUAAACCCACCCAAACCACAGCCAGUGUCCUCAGGCUCAACACUGGUAUACGACAAGCUGUACUGUGGUUUCAGAAACGGCAAUUAGAUCAAUGUCAACAGCUCCCAAACAAACACACAGUUACCAGGCAAGAUGGAAUAGACACACCCUAGGUAGGGGGUGUUGUGGUGUCUGUUGGUUCAGAAAAGAAAUGCAUGUGCCCAGUCAAGAAUAAACAAAUUCUGUGAAAAUUUUGUUUGACUUCAAAGAAAAGUUAGCCUGUGAUCAUCUCUCAAAGUCAAAUACCUUCCAAAGAAUCAGGAGCCCCUAUUAUAAUCAAAUGAGAACCAGGCUAAAGAUCCUAGAACCACAGGGAAAAUUGUUGUUUUGUUUUGUCUUCCCAAAGAAAGCCACUGGACUCUUGAAUUUAACCCCAGCUGGAUGGUAAGGCUUAGGAAGGCGUGAAGUAUCUGCAUCACUCACUCGUGUAUCCUCAGGGCCUGGGACUGAGUUCCAACUAUGAAUGAAUACCCCCAGUCUGUGUUGCUUCCAGAGGCACAGCUAUCCUCAUACCUGCCUCUCUUUGUGUUAUGGAGCUGAUCCCCAAAAAGUCUGAUGCCAAUCUUCCCUUCUCUCUUAAGUGAGAAAAUAAACAAUAAUAUAAAUCAAUGCCAAUAUUGCUUUUUAAUUUUAGCUCAAGGAAGUAGAGGACUGAACUAUGAUCCUUUGAACUGACAAAUCUGAUCAAUGUAAUUAGCCAAAGCAAAGGAUAUGCGACUUUAAGCCAUGAUAUUUCUUUGAUGGUGGGUUGAUGGAACCAGCCUGUCUUCCUUCCCUCUCUCCUUCCUUGCCUCCCUCCCUUCCUUCCUUCUUCUUUCUCUUUAUAGUUCAUAGUUUCCAAUUCACUUUUUCAGCAUGGCAUAACUCAAGCAUAAAUGGACACAUUUCCCUUUCACAUUCUUUCUGGCUCUUUCCAAUAAUCCUCAUGCUAAUAAAAUGGCCCCCCACAGACCGGAAAAACCCAAGACCCACUCUUUCCAAUUGUGAGAUGCUUCAGCUGUGAUGGUCUCCUGUUGGUUCACUCAAUUCAGUGCUCAGUUUCCAGGACAGGUGUCACAUUCUGAAAUGUGAGGGUGCUUGAGAGAAGUCGGUAUGCUUCCCCUGAACCAUUUUCUUGGUGGCUGCAUCAGACAUUCACUGCCCUUCCCUGAAGCACCCAUCACGCUUUGGCUUAAAUGUCACUUCCCUCAGGAAUUCUUCUGUUAGUGCCCAAUUAAGUUUUGAGCCAUGGAUUUAAGGACGUUUAGCACUUACAUGUCUCCUUCAUAAUGCUCAACUUAUUGGGAUGCAUCUGUGUUUCUCAUCUUAUAUCUUUGCCCAUCAGAGAACACUCAGCAUACAAUAGGCACUUAACACAUGUGUUGAAUAAAUGACAAAUUGCACAUGGAAUCAUAGCUAGCAUUACUGGAGGUUAAUCAUGCUUAGCUAUGACAUAGGUCUUCCCACUUAAUCUUUGCAACACUCUAAGAGUUGGCUGCUGUUAGUAUCUCUAUUUAGCAGACGAGGAAGCUGAGUCUUCAGGGCUGUAACAUACCCAAGGCUGCAUAAGUAGUAAACGGCGGGGCUGAGGUACAAAUUGUAGACUAGAACAAGUGCCCACAACCAAAAUAAUCUUAGUUUCUUUGUGCUCUGCAUUUGGGCUGACUCUAUUGGCGGGGGGGGAUCUAUUUCUUCUUGCUCAUGGCCAGAGCAGUUCUUCCUUCCCCUAUGCACCUGAGAGCCUGGAAAAUUCUGUGACAAGAUCGUUGGCAAAGAGAAGCUUAUUUUCUCCUCCUCUACCCUCAAAUUGAUGAUCUUGGCCAUUGUCUAAUUUUCUCCUCCAAAAACAGAAACUUCGGGAAAUUACCUUGGCAAGAAAGUCUUUCUUAGCUCACCCCCAGCAGCCCAAGUGUAGAUGUAGCUGGCACUAGUAAUGGAAUUGAAUUUAAAAAAAAAAAAAAAAAAAAAAAA
ensembl:lncRNA